GACGAACGCUGGCGGCGUGCCUAAUACAUGCAAGUAGAACGCUGAAGCUUGGUGCUUGCACCGAGCGGAUGAGUUGCGAACGGGUGAGUAACGCGUAGGUAACCUGCCUGGUAGCGGGGGAUAACUAUUGGAAACGAUAGCUAAUACCGCAUAAGAGUAGAUGUUGCAUGACAUUUGCUUAAAAGGUGCCAUUGCAUCACUACCAGAUGGACCUGCGUUGUAUUAGCUAGUUGGUGAGGUAACGGCUCACCAAGGCAACGAUACAUAGCCGACCUGAGAGGGUGAUCGGCCACACUGGGACUGAGACACGGCCCAGACUCCUACGGGAGGCAGCAGUAGGGAAUCUUCGGCAAUGGACGGAAGUCUGACCGAGCAACGCCGCGUGAGUGAAGAAGGUUUUCGGAUCGUAAAGCUCUGUUGUAAGAGAAGAACGAGUGUGAGAGUGGAAAGUUCACACUGUGACGGUAUCUGACCAGAAAGGGACGGCUAACUACGUG
rnacentral:rRNA from 1 species